rnacentral:misc_RNA from 1 species
AAGUCGUAACAAGGUUUCCGUAGGUGAACCUGCGGAAGGAUCAUUAACAAGAUUCUGUGCCUUCGAUCUAGUCGCAAGACUGUUCGAGGCAUAUUAGUUCGAGACAGCAAUGUCUCGUUACACAUUCACGCUUGUAUUGUUUGACAGAGUAAUGAUGUUGACAUAAUUAAUGACAACUUUUAACAAUGGAUCUCUUGGCUCUU